GGGAGCUUGGCUCAGUUGGAAGAGCGCAGGUCUCAUACGAAAUAUCAAAAAAGUAUGAUCUGGUUAAACAUCAGAGUAAUCCUGAGGUCGUGAGUUCGAGCCUCACAGUUCCCA